rnacentral:rRNA from 1 species
UUCGGAGCUAGUGGCGGACGGGUGAGUAACGCGUGAGAAUCUGCCUUCAGGAGGGGGAUAACGACUGGAAACGGUCGCUAAUACCCCAUAUGCCUCCGGGUGAAAAGUAAUUCGCCUGAAGAUGAGCUCGCGUCAGAUUAGCUAGUUGGUGGGGUAAGAGCCUACCAAGGCGACGAUCUGUAGCUGGUCUGAGAGGAUGAUCAGCCACACUGGACUGAGACACGGCCCAGACUCCUACGGGAGGCAGCAGUGGGGAAUUUUCCGCAAUGGGCGCAAGCCUGACGGAGCAAGACCGCGUGGGGGAUGACGGCCUAAUGGUUGUAAACCCCUUUUCUCUGGGAAGAAGACUGACGGUACCAGAGGAAUCAGCCUCGGCUAACUCCGUGCCAGCAGCCGCGGUAAUACGGAGGAGGCAAGCGUUAUCCGGAAUUAUUGGGCGUAAAGCGUCCGUAGGUGGUUAUUCAAGUCUGCUGUCAAAGCGUGGGGCUUAACUCCAUAGAGGCAGUGGAAACUGAGUGACUAGAGUGCGGUAGGGGUCGAGGGAAUUCCCAGUGUAGCGGUGAAAUGCGUAGAUCUUGGGAAGAACACCAGUGGCGAAAGCGCUCGACUGGGCCUGCACUGACACUGAGGGACGAAAGCUAGGGGAGCGAAAGGGAUUAGAUACCCCUGUAGUCCUAGCCGUAAACGAUGGAUACUAGGUGUUGCUCGUCAUCGACCCGAGCAGUGCCCGUAGCCAACGCGUUAAGUAUCCCGCCUGGGGAGUACGCUCGCAAGAGUGAAAACUCAAAGGAAUUGACGGGGGCCCGCACAAGCGGUGGAGUAUGUGGUUUAAUUCGAUGCAACGCGAAGAACCCUUACCAGGGCUUGACAAUGUCCGGAACCCCUCG